rnacentral:tmRNA from 2 species
UGACAAACAUGUAGUAGCUUUUUUUGAGAUGUUUUCGGACGCGGGUUCGACUCCCGCCACCUCCAAUU